ACGAACACCUUUCGAUCUCCGACGAACUCCGAGCUCUCUCUCUCGAUCUCCGGCGAACUGCGACAUCUCAAGCUCUCUCUCUCGAACUUCGGCGAACUCCGAGCUCUCUCUCGAUCCAUCUCGUCUCGCAGAGCUCUCUCUCUCUCUCUCUCUGGAUCCAUCUCGCAGAGCUCUCUCUCUCUCUCAAUCUCCGACAUCUCAACCUCUCUCUCUCGAUCUCCGGUGAACUCCGAGCUCUCUCUCUCUCGAUCUCCGACGAACUCCGAGCUCUCUCUCUCGAUCUAUCUAUUGCAGAGCUCUCUCUCUCGAUCUACCCAUCUCCCAGCUCAUCUCAUCUCAAGCUCUCUCUUCUCCAUACCCAUCUCGAGCUCGACCAAACCCAUCACUUCCUUUUCUUGUUGAGGCUCUCUCAGGCUUCUCCAUAGCUUUCUCGAAGCAAACCCAUCUCUCCUCUGUUUCUCACUCUCUCGUUUCUCUCUUCUUUGCCGCAGCUCGAGCUCUCUCUCUCUUCUGACGAAAACCCAGGGCUUUUUCUCCUCCAACGCAACGCUCGCUCUCUCUCCCGAUCUCAGACGCACACCCUCUCUUCUUUGUUUUGGUAAGAUUACAGAACGUUCUGAUU